rnacentral:rRNA from 1 species
UACGAAGGGGGCUAGCGUUGCUCGGAAUCACUGGGCGUAAAGGGUGCGUAGGCGGGUCUUUAAGUCAAAGGCGAAAUCCUGGAGCUCAACUCCAGAACUGCCUUUGAUACUGAGAGUCUUGAGUCCGGGAGAGGUGAGUGGAACUGCGAGUGUAGAGGUGAAAUUCGUAGAUAUUCGCAAGAACACCAGUGGCGAAGGCGGCUCACUGGCCCGGUACUGACGCUGAGGUGCGAAAGCGUGGGGAGCGAACAGG